GACGAACGCUGGCGGCGUGCCUAAUACAUGCAAGUUGAGCGAUGAAGAUUGGUGCUUGCACCAAUAUGAAGAGCAGCGAACGGGUGAGUAACGCGUGGGGAAUCUGCCUUUGAGCGGGGGACAACAUUUGGAAACGAAUGCUAAUACCGCAUAACAACUUUAAACAUAAGUUUUAAGUUUGAAAGAUGCAAUUGCAUCACUCAAAGAUGAUCCCGCGUUGUAUUAGCUAGUUGGUGAGGUAAAGGCUCACCAAGGCGAUGAUACAUAGCCGACCUGAGAGGGUGAUCGGCCACAUUGGGACUGAGACACGGCCCAAACUCCUACGGGAGGCAGCAGUAGGGAAUCUUCGGCAAUGGACGAAAGUCUGACCGAGCAACGCCGCGUGAGUGAAGAAGGUUUUCGGAUCGUAAAACUCUGUUGGUAGAGAAGAACGUUGGUGAGAGUGGAAAGCUCAUCAAGUGACGGUAACUACCCAGAAAGGGACGGCUAACUACGUG
rnacentral:rRNA from 1 species